rnacentral:rRNA from 1 species
UACGAAGGUCCCAAGCGUUGUUCGGAUUUACUGGGCGUAAAGCGCGCGUAGGUGGUCUGUUAAGUCGGAUGUGAAAGCCCCGGGCUCAACCCAGGAACUGCAUUUAAAACUAGUGAUCUAGAAUUUGGUAGGGGUUAGUAGAAUUUCCAGUGUAGAGGUGAAAUUCGUAGAUAUUGGAAAGAAUACCAGUGGCGAAGGCGACUAACUGGGCCAUUUUUGACGCUGAGAUACGAAAGCGUGGGUAGCAAACAGG